rnacentral:snRNA from 1 species
AGAUGUGAGGGCGAUCUGGCUGUGACAUCUGUCACCCCACUGAUCGCCAGGGCUGAUUCGGCUGAGCUGGCUGGGCCGGCGUCCCCCUCCUCCCUCACCGCUCCGCGCGCGUCCCUUCCGAAGCUGCGUGCUCGGGGGAAGAGGACGACCAUCGACGGAGGAAGACAGUUCUUCACUCAGGGGUACGUGGUCGCGCUCCCCGCCACAGCCUCCAAACGAGCUCUGGAGGUCCGCUGCAGGAGGCGGAGGGGGCUACAUUCCCACUCCAGGCACAUCCCGAUCA